rfam:Triticum aestivum genome assembly, contig: Triticum_aestivum_CS42_TGACv1_scaffold_097467_2AL
UAUAUACUCCGUCCGUCCGGAAAUAGUUGUCAUCAAAAUGGAUAAAAGGGAUGUAUCUAGAUGUAUUUUAGUUUUAGAUUCAUCCUUUUUUGUCCAUUUUGAUGACAAGUAUUUUCUAACGGAGGGAGUAUAAU